rnacentral:rRNA from 1 species
GAAAGGGAUGCUAAUACCGCAUGAUGCAUAUUUAUCGCAUGGUAGAUGUGCCAAAGAUUUAUCGCUCAAAGAUGGACUCGCGUCCGAUUAGCCAGUUGGCGGGGUAACGGCCCACCAAAGCGACGAUCGGUAGCCGGACUGAGAGGUUGAACGGCCACAUUGGGACUGAGACACGGCCCAGACUCCUACGGGAGGCAGCAGUGGGGGAUAUUGCGCAAUGGGGGAAACCCUGACGCAGCAACGCCGCGUGAAGGAUGAAGGUUUUCGGAUUGUAAACUUCUUUUAUUUAGGACGAAGAAUGACGGUACUUAAUGAAUAAGCUCCGGCUAACUACGUGCCAGCAGCCGCGGUAAUACGUAGGGAGCAAGCGUUAUCCGGAUUUACUGGGUGUAAAGGGUGCGUAGGCGGCUUUGCAAGUCAGAUGUGAAAUGUAUGGGCUCAACCCAUGCACUGCAUUUGAAACUAUUGAGCUUGAGUGAAGUAGAGGUAGGCGGAAUUCCCUGUGUAGCGGUGAGAUGCGUAGAGAUAGGGAGGAACACCAGUGGCGAAGGCGGCCUACUGGGCUUUAACUGACGCUGAGGCACGAAAGCGUGGGUAGCAAACAGGAUUAGAUACCCUGGUAGUCCACGCUGUAAACGAUGAUUACUAGGUGUGGGGGGUCUGACCCCUUCCGUGCC